rnacentral:rRNA from 1 species
ACGGGAGGCAGCAGUGGGGGAUAUUGCACAAUGGGGGAAACCCUGAUGCAGCGACGCCGCGUGAGUGAAGAAGUAUUUCGGUAUGUAAAGCUCUAUCAGCAGGAAAGAUAAUGACGGUACCUGACUAAGAAGCACCGGCUAAAUACGUGCCAGCAGCCGCGGUAAUACGUAUGGUGCAAGCGUUAUCCGGAUUUACUGGGUGUAAAGGGAGCGUAGACGGCAUGGCAAGUCUGAAGUGAAAGCCUGGGGCUCAACCCCGGAACUGCUUUGGAACUGUUAAACUUGAGUGCAGGAGAGGAAAGUGGAAUUCCUAGUGUAGCGGUGGAAUGCGUAGAUAUUAGGAGGAACACCAGUGGCGAAGGCGGCUUUCUGGACUGUAACUGACACUGAGGCUCGAAAGCGUGGGGAGCAAACAGGAUUAGAUACCCUGGUA